rnacentral:rRNA from 1 species
GACGAACGCCUUUUGCGUGCUUAACACAUGCAAGUCGAACGGAAAGGCCCUGCUUUUGUGGGGUGCUCGAGUGGCGAACGGGUGAGUAACACGUGAGUAACCUGCCCUUGACUUUGGGAUAACUUCAGGAAACUGGGGCUAAUACCGGAUAGGAGCUCCUGCUGCAUGGUGGGGGUUGGAAAGUUUCGGCGGUUGGGGAUGGACUCGCGGCUUAUCAGCUUGUUGGUGGGGUAGUGGCUUACCAAGGCUUUGACGGGUAGCCGGCCUGAGAGGGUGACCGGCCACAUUGGGACUGAGAUACGGCCCAGACUCCUACGGGAGGCAGCAGUGGGGAAUAUUGCACAAUGGGCGGAAGCCUGAUGCAGCAACGCCGCGUGCGGGAUGACGGCCUUCGGGUUGUAAACCGCUUUCGCCUGUGACGAAGCGUGAGUGACGGUAAUGGGUAAAGAAGCACCGGCUAACUACGUGCCAGCAGCCGCGGUGAUACGUAGGGUGCGAGCGUUGUCCGGAUUUAUUGGGCGUAAAGGGCUCGUAGGUGGUUGAUCGCGUCGGAAGUGUAAUCUUGGGGCUUAACCCUGAGCGUGCUUUCGAUACGGGUUGACUUGAGGAAGGUAGGGGAGAAUGGAAUUCCUGGUGGAGCGGUGGAAUGCGCAGAUAUCAGGAGGAACACCAGUGGCGAAGGCGGUUCUCUGGGCCUUUCCUGACGCUGAGGAGCGAAAGCGUGGGGAGCGAACAGGCUUAGAUACCCUGGUAGUCCACGCUGUAAACGGUGGGUACUAGGUGUGGGGUCCAUUCCACGGGUUCCGUGCCGUAGCUAACGCUUUAAGUACCCCGCCUGGGGAGUACGGCCGCAAGGCUAAAACUCAAAGGAAUUGACGGGGCCCCGCACAAGCGGCGGAGCAUGCGGAUUAAUUCGAUGCAACGCGUAGAACCUUACCUGGGUUUGACAUGGAUCGGGAGUGCUCAGAGAUGGGUGUGCCUCUUUUGGGGUCGGUUCACAGGUGGUGCAUGGCUGUCGUCAGCUCGUGUCGUGAGAUGUUGGGUUAAGUCCCGCAACGAGCGCAACCCUUGUUCACUGUUGCCAGCACGUUAUGGUGGGGACUCAGUGGAGACCGCCGGGGUCAACUCGGAGGAAGGUGGGGAUGACGUCAAGUCAUCAUGCCCCUUAUGUCCAGGGCUUCACGCAUGCUACAAUGGCUGGUACAGAGAGUGGCGAGCCUGUGAGGGUGAGCGAAUCUCGGAAAGCCGGUCUCAGUUCGGAUUGGGGUCUGCAACUCGACCUCAUGAAGUCGGAGUCGCUAGUAAUCGCAGAUCAGCAACGCUGCGGUGAAUACGUUCCCGGGGCU